UNUGACUUGAGUGCAGAAGGGGAGAGUGGAAUUCCAUGUGUAGCGGUGAAAUGCGUAGAUAUAUGGAGGANCACCAGUGGCGAAAGCGGCUCUCUGGUCUGUCACUGACGCUGAGGCUCGAAAGCGUGGGUAGCGAACAGGAUUAGAUACCCUGGUAGUNCACGCCGUAAACGAUGAGUGCUAGGUGUUAGGCCCUUUCCGGGGCUUAGUGCCGGAGCUAACGCAAUAAGCACUCCGCCUGGGGAGUACGACCGCAAGGUUGAAACUCAAAGGAAUUGACGGGGGCCCGCACAAGCGGUGGAGCAUGUGGUUUAAUUCGAAGCAACGCGAAGAACCUUACCAGGUCUUGACAUCCCGAUGCUAUUCUUAGAGAUAGGAAGUUACUUCGGUACAUCGGAGACAGGUGGUGCAUGGUUGUCGUCAGCUCGUGUCGUGAGAUGUUGGGUUAAGUCCCGCAACGAGCGCAACCCUUAUUGUUAGUUGCCAUCAUUAAGUUGGGCACUCUAGCGAGACUGCCGGUAAUAAACCGGAGGAAGGUGGGGAUGACGUCAAAUCAUCAUGCCCCUUAUGACCUGGGCUACACACGUGCUACAAUGGUCGGUACAAUGAGUUGCGAGCCGGUGACGGCAAGCUAAUCUCUGAAAGCCGAUCUCAGUUCGGAUUGGAGGCUGCAACUCGCCUCCAUGAAGUCGGAAUCGCUAGUAAUCGCGGAUCAGCACGCCGCGGUGAAUACGUUCCCGGGCCUUGUACACACCGCCCGUCACACCACGAGAGUUUGUAACACCCGAAGUCGGUGAGGUAACCUUUUAGGGGCCAGC
rnacentral:rRNA from 1 species